ensembl:lncRNA
CUCGUGAUGACUCCCGGAGGUGCAGUUGGCUUUAGGUCAUCCUUUCACCCAUGGUGGUAUUGUUGUUGCUCGUGAUGACUCCCGGAGGUGCAGUUGGCUUUAGGUCAUCCUUGGAUCAGAAGAAAGAUUGACCUGAGCUUGUCUUUUUUUUUUUUUUUACAAAUACUAUUUGAACCCAGGUCUGCUUGGUUUAUCCAGACAGUACCAAAGCCUGGACCUAAUCCCUCACAGAGAAGAACCAUAUUACAAUCUAAUCUAUCUAUGAUACUGUUUAUUCAUAGUGGGAGUUUUUCCCUGUCAGAAUCUGUAAUGCCACUUCGGGAAUAGGAGUACAGUAUUACACUCAGUAUUACACUCAGCAGUACACUCAGUAGUAGUACACUCAGCAGUACACUCAGUAGUAGUACACUCAGCAGUACACUCAGUAGUAGAACACUCAGCAGUACACUCAGUAGUAGUACACUCAGUAGUAGUACACUCAGUAGUAGUUCACUCAGCAGUACACUCAGUAGUAGUUCACUCAGCAGUACACUCAGUAGUAGAACACUCAGCAGUAGUACACUCAGUAGUAGUACACUCAGUAGUAGUACACUCAGUAGUAGUACACUCAGUAGUAGUACACUCAGUAGCAGUACACUCAGUAGUAGUACACUCAGUAGUAGUACACUCAGUAGUAGUACACUCAGUAGUAGUACACUCAGUAGUAGUACACUCAGUAGUAGUUCACUCAGCAGUACACUCAGUAGUAGUUCACUCAGCAGUACACUCAGUAGUAGUACACUCAGUAGUACACUCAGCAGUACACUCAGUAGUAGUACACUCAGUAGUACACUCAGCAGUACACUCAGUAGUAGUUCACUCAGCAGUACACUCAGUAGUAGUACACUCAGUAGUACACUCAGCAGUACACUCAGUAGUAGUACACUCAGCAGUACACUCAGUAGUAGUACACUCAGUAGUAGUACACUCAGUAGUACACUCAGCAUACACUCAGUAGUAGUUCACUCAGCAGUACACUCAGUAGUAGUUCACUCAGCAGUACACUCAGUAGUAGUACACUCAGCAGUACACUCAGUAGUACACUCAGUAGUAGUACACUCAGCAUACACUCAGUAGUAGUUCACUCAGCAGUACACUCAGUAGUAGUACACUCAGCAGUACACUCAGCAGUAGUUCACUCAGCAGUACACUCAGUAGUAGUUCACUCAGCAGUACACUCAGUAGUAGUUCACUCAGCAGUACACUCAGUAGUAGUACACUCAGUAGUACACUCAGCAGUACACUCAGUAGUAGUACACUCAGUAGUAGUACACUCAGCAGUACACUCAGUAGUAGUACACUCAGUAGUACACUCAGCAGUACACUCAGUAGUAGUACACUCAGUAGUACACUCAGUAGUAGUACACUCAGCAGUACACUCAGUAGUAGUACACUCAGCAGUACACUCAGUAGUAGUAGUACACUCAGCAGUACACUCAGUAGUAGUUCACUCAGCAGUACACUCAGUAGUAGUACACUCAGCAGUACACUCAGUAGUAGUACACUCAGUAGUAGUACACUCAGCAGUACACUCAGUAGUAGUACACUCAGCAGUACACUCAGUAGUAGUACACUCAGCAGUACACUCAGUAGUACACUCAGCAGUACACUCAGUAGUAGUACACUCAGUAGUACACUCAGUAGUACACUCAGUAGUAGUAGUACACUCAGUAGUACACUCAGUAGUACACUCAGUAGUAGUAGUACACUCAGUAGUAGUAGUACACUCAGUAGUACACUCAGUAGUAGUACACUCAGUAGUACACUCAGUAGUAGUACACUCAGCAGUACACUCAGUAGUAGUACACUCAGCAGUACACAGCAGUAGUAGUACACUCAGUAGUAGUAGUACACUCAGCAGUACACUCAGUAGUAGUACACUCAGCAGUACACUCAGUAGUAGUACACUCAGUAGUAGUAGUACACUCAGUAGUAGUACACUCAGUAGUAGUAGUACACUCAGUAGUAGUAGUACACUCAGUAGUAGUACACUCAGCAGUACACUCAGUAGUAGUACACUCAGUAGUAGUAGUACACUCAGUAGUACACUCAGUAGUACACUCAGUAGUAGUACACUCAGUAGUAGUACACUCAGUGAUCCAUCCGUGCUAUCUUUUCCUUUUUAUUUGCAUGGAAGGGUUCAGUCUCCCAUUUCCACCCCAUAGUGGUUGUUUUAUUUGCAUGGAAAGGUUCAGUCUCCCAUUUCCACCCCAUAGUGGUUGUUUUAUUUGCAUGGAAAGGUUCAGUCUCCCAUUUCCACCCCAUAGUGGUUGUUUUAUUUGCAUGGAAAGGUUCAGUCUCCCAUUUCCACCCCAUAGUGGUUGUUUUAUUUGCAUG